rnacentral:rRNA from 1 species
AACGAACGCUGGCGGCAGGCCUAACACAUGCAAGUCGAGCGAGGACUUCGGUCCUAGCGGCGGACGGGUGAGUAACGCGUGGGAACGUGCCCUUUGCUUCGGAAUAGCCCUGGGAAACUGGGAGUAAUACCGGAUGAGCCCUUUGGGGGAAAGAUUUAUCGGCGAAGGAUCGGCCCGCGUUGGAUUAGGUAGUUGGUGGGGUAAUGGCCUACCAAGCCGACGAUUCAUAGCUGGUUUGAGAGGAUGAUCAGCCACACUGGGACUGAGACACGGCCCAGACUCCUACGGGAGGCAGCAGUGGGGAAUCUUAGACAAUGGGGGAAACCCUGAUCUAGCCAUGCCGCGUGAGCGAUGAAGGCCUUAGGGUUGUAAAGCUCUUUCAGCUGGGAAGAUAAUGACGGUACCAGCAGAAGAAGCCCCGGCUAACUCCGUG